GCGGAAGGCCUGCUGUCUAUCACUGUCCUACAUACCCAGGUAUGGGGUGAGUCCCUGUGAUUCUAGCAUCAAGGAGAUGGAGACAUCAGAACCCCAGAGCUGUCUUUGGCCACACAGAGAUUUCAAGACCAGCCUAAGAGACUCGUGAACCCACCACCCAAUAACCUGUGCCUCUCCGGGUCCCCGGGUGAUUCUGACGAAGGCUGCACCCGGGAAUCCCAAGGAGGAGCAGCAACCUACGGAGCACUGGGCAGGUCUUGGAGCCCUGAGCAGAGGGAUGGCUGGCCCAGGAGCACAGAGCACAUGCGCACAGAGAACUGCUCCGUGAGCCCUGAGAUGCUCCUGCCAAGACCGUCAGCACUGCCCAGUGGCACCCAGAAUGCUUUGCAUCAAAGAAUGGCAAGCAGGACAGGGUUCUGAGCAGAACAGUUCUUCACCCUCCAGCCCCCUGUGCUGUCUCCCGGUUCACAAUGGGAGCCUACCGCAUUUGGGUGGGGGGUGGUCUUGUGCACUGUGUAUUCAGAUGCUAGUUACUGCACCCCGAGAUCUGGGUGCAGUCUGACUUUGAGUCUGACUUUGCUAUUGUGAUUUGCUAUUAUUAUGAAGCACUUUCUGAAUGGGUAGUUUUGUAAAACAUUGGUCUCCAUUAUCUUCUGAUUGGGGUGGGGUGUGUGUAUGUGUAUGUGUGUGUGUGAGAGAGAGAGAGAGAGAGAGAGAGAGAGAGAGGGGGGGGGGAAGAGAGGAAGAGAGAGAGAGGGAGAGACAGAGAGAGACAGAGACAGAGAUAUUUGCCAUGAGAGAUUUACCAUGAGCCAUUCUCCAUGAGCAGGUGGCCAGGAAGGUUACCAUGAGGACACUGAUAGAGCAGGAGCAGCCAGGACAAGACUAAGAAGGCAAGUAAUGGGCACAUGGCUGGGAAAUCGGCCAGGCCAGCAUCUUCUCCUUAGAAAAUAGCUCAGAAUUUUCCCAGCUUAGCACCUGAGGCUUUUAGUAAACAUACCAGGCCUCUGUGUUAUUAAUUGGGGAGACAAAGGGAACAAUAGAACAGUUUUCCACAUUUACUUUGUAACACUUCUUUUGAAAACUUCAGAAAAAUUCUAGUAAAAAACCAACUAUCAUGGGAGGAAGCUCACUGCCCUCCCAGCCAGGAGGUUGGUAGCACACACCUUUAAUCCCAGCACUCAGUAGGCCGAGAGACAGGUAGAUCUCCGAGUUCAAGGCCAGCCUGGUCUACAGAGUGAGUUCCAGGACAGCCAGGACUACACAGAGAAAUCUGACUCGAAAUCAUACAAACAAACAAACAAACAACUCAAGCAAGCAAACAACUACAACAACAAAAUCACACUGCAGUAUUUUUCCACAGGGCUACGAUUUAGAGUUCUAUUUGUCUAGGCCUGUGAGAUGGUAAGGAUACUUGGCUGCCAAAGCUGACAGCUCGAGUUUGAUCCCUGGGACCCAAUGGUUGAAGGAGAGAAGUGACUCCAGCAAGUCCACACACAUGUGCCAUGGAUGCACCUAUACAUUGUCUGACUGGCUGUCUGUCUGUCUUGAGACAGGGUUUCUUUGUGUAACCCUGGCUGUCCAGGAACUAGCUUUGGAGACCAGGCUGGCCUCAAACUCAAAGGUCUGACUGCCUCCCAAGAGCUGGGAUUAAAGGUAUACACCACUAUAGCCCAUCUGUGAUUGAUGAUGUUUGUUUUUGAAGACAGGGUUUCUCUGUGUAGCCUUGGUUGUCCUGGAACUCACUCUGUAGAUCAGGCUGGCCUUGAACUCAGAGAUCUACCUGUCUCUCGGCCUACUGAGUGCUGGGAUUAAAGGUGUGUGCCACCACUGCCCAACUUCUGUGACUGAUUUUUUAAAGUCAACUUAUUAUACUCUGUGUGUGCGUGCACAUGUGUGCACGCAGAAAAAUCUCUGCACCAGGCAUGAUGGCAAUCCUUUAAUCCCAGGAUUUAGGAGGCAGAAUAGGCUGAUUUCUGGGUUCCAGGACUGCCAGUGAAAGAAAACCUGUCUCAAAAGCAAGCAAGCAAAACUGCCCACAGAAGGGAGCCAUCUCUGCCACUACGUACAUCUGAGCAAAGCGGUGGCACUCUUGCCGACUCUGCAUGGUUCUCCCCCCUCUUACAGCUCUGUGCUGUCUGACACUUGCUGCCUUGCUGUUUUGGUGUUGUUUAUGAUAGUCACGGGUGUCAAGUUAUACCUCAGCCCUUGUCGGUUGGAGGGGGUUUUUCAUCCCCAGGGGGACUCCUGAUGAUUCCUGGGAUAUUUUUCUCAACCUCACCAGGUGGUAUCACUAGUGAGACCAGGGGUACAAUUUAGCAUCCAUAGCACCUAGAACCUCCUCCCCACAGCCUGACCAUACACAGGCCAGUAUAGGUAAGGAUAGAUGUCCAACCCCCUUACAGAAGAAACAAAAAACAGGACACCAUUCCUGUUGCGCGGUCCCUGGCUGCUCUCUGUCCCAUCAAACUCAUUUCCCCGCCACAGCAUCACCUGCUUACAGCUCUCAGGCUGGAGAGAUGGCUCAGGAGUUAAGAGCACUUGCUGCUCCUCCGGAGGACCUGGGUUCAAUUCCCACCCACACCUGUCUGGAUCUCCAGUUCCAGGGAAUCCAACAAGAGUACACACAGCACACACUACUAAAGCAAAAACUUGGCAUUACUGGGACUAUUGAUGCUGGUUAGCUGGAGCUAAGAAAUUAGCGGUGAUUAAGAAGAGACUAGCAUCAUUGAGGUGACAUCUUCUGGGAAGUGUUUUCUGAAAGCACAAAGAGGCUGUGUUCCAGAGAUAGCCAAGGUUGUAGUCCUGCUGCAGCGGGACUUGGUAAUAUGUAAGGGUCACCCAGGUGGUACUGGUUUUGAAGGCAUGAAGGGGUCACAAAGAGCAGCUGAAGCUCCACACUGUGAGAGGCCAUGGAAGGCCAUUGGUGAAGGUGCAGCCGCAGUUGCAAUUGAAGGCCCAGGACUGAAGGGGUCAUGCAGUGUUUUGGAGAUGCCAGUACCAUGAGAUGACCACCAAGAGCAGCAGCAGCAGUGAAGUACAGGCAUCUGGAGCCUAGAGGACGACAAGUGUGCUACAAAGGGCAUGGCUGGAGAAGUGACCCAAGCCCUUGGAGGAGCUCAUAAGAUUGUGAGUUGGAUCCCAGACAUUGGAAGGUUGGACAUUGAUUUUUGCUUUUGAUUGUGACUGUGCCCUGAUAUUUUCCCUCUUGAAGGAAGAAACUAUUUUAGUGGAGCCCACAGUUAAGAGACUUUUCAUUGUAAAAAGACUUUGGAUUUUAAAAGAGAUGGAUAUUUUAAAGAGAUUGAAAUUUUAAGAAUAUGUAAAGACUGUGGGAUGUUUAAAGUUAUUUAGACCAUGAAGGCAGAACAUCCAUGCACAUCAAAAUAAAAGUAAUAAAUAAAUAAAAAUACUUAAGUCUAACGACUGGGGAUAUAUAUAGCUCAGUUAGUAAAGCGUUUGGCUCACGACUACGAGGCCCUUGGCUUGAUCCUCAUAGUAGCACACACACCUGCGAUCCCAGCAUGCUGGCGACAGAGGCAGGACAAUCAAAGUUUGAAGUCCCUCUCAGCUACACAGUGAGUCUGAAGCCAACCUGGGCUUCAUAAGACCUUGUCUCCAAUAAACAACAAAAUUAAACUCAGCAAUCUCUCAAGAAAU
rnacentral:lncRNA from 1 species